CGGCCACACUGGGACUGAGACACUGCCCAGACUCCUUCGGGAGGCUGCAGUCGAGGAUUUUUUGCAAUGCGCGCAAGCGUGACAGAGCGACGCCGCGUGGACGAUGAAGGCCUUCGGGUUGUAAAGUCCAAUCUCGGGGAAAGAAGAGCCGGAGGUUAACAGCCUGCCGGCUUGACGUUACUCCGGUUGAAGCGCCGGCUAAACUCGUGCCAGCAGCCGCGGUAAUACGAGUGGCGCAAGCGUUGUUCGGAUUCACUGGGCAUAAAGCGCGCGUAGGCGGUGCUGUAAGUCGGUUGUGAAAGCCCCCGGCUCAACCGGGGAAUCGCAGUCGAAACUGCAGUGCUAGAGUCUGGAAGGGGGGAGUGGAAUUCCUGGUGGAGCGGUGAAAUGCGUAGAUAUCAGGAGGAACGCCGGUGGCGAAGGCGACUCUCUGGUCCAGUACUGACGCUCAGAGCGCGAAAGCUAGGGGAGCAAACAGGAUUAGAUACCCUGGUAGUCCUAGCCGUAAACGAUGGGCACUUGGUAGCGGCAGUUACCGACACUGUCGCUGCUGGAGCUAAUGUAUUAAGUGCCCCGCCUGGGGAGUAUGCUCGCAAGGGUGAAACUCAAAGGAAUUGACGGGGGCUCACACAAGCGGUGGAGCAUGUUGUUUAAUUCGAGGCUACGCGAAGAACCUUACCUGGGUUUGAAGCGAUAGGUAUAAGCGCGUCGAAAGAUGUGUGAUUGCCCUUCGGGGUGUAACCUAUCACAGGUGCUGCAUGGCUGUCGUCAGCUCGUGUCGUGAGAUGUCGGGUUAAGUCCCAUAACGAGCGAAACCCUUGUCCUUAGUUGCUAGCGGGUAAAGCCGAGGACUCUAAGGAGACUGCCGGUGUUAAACCGUGAGGAAGGUGGGGACGACGUCAAGUCAUCAUGGCCUUUACGUCCAGGGCUACAAACGUGCUACAAUGGCCGGCACAAAGGGAAGCAAGACCGCGAGGUGGAGCAAAUCUCAAAAAUCCGGCCCCAGUUCGGAUUGGAGGCUGCAAUUCGCCUCCAUGAAGUUGGAAUCGCUAGUAAUCGCGUGUCAGCUACAACGCGGUGAAUGUGUUCCUGAGCCUUGUACACACCGCCCGUCAAGCCAUCCAAGCAGGGCGCACCCGUAAUCACUGGCCCAACCCGCAAGGGAGGGAGGUGCUGAAGGUGAGCUUUGUGAGGAGGACUAAGUCGGAACAAGGUAACCGUAGGGGAACCUGCGGUUG
rnacentral:rRNA from 1 species